rnacentral:rRNA from 1 species
GCAUGCCUACAACAUAGCGUUAAUGCAUCAGAUCCCAUUAGAACUCCGCAGUUAAGUGUGCCUGGGCUAGAGUAGUACUGUGAUGACCACCUGGGAAGCCCUAGUAUUUUACAUGCC